rnacentral:rRNA from 1 species
UCGGUUGGGGAUGGACUCGCGGCCUAUCAGCUAGUUGGUGAGGUAACGGCCCACCAAGGCGACGACGGGUAGCCGGCCUGAGAGGGCGACCGGCCACACUGGGACUGAGACACGGCCCAG